CUGUCGGCCAGGGGAAUUCCUGGCGGGGUGAUUUUUAAGACUAAACACUGAAUCACAUUGCCAGGGAUUUCCAAUGGC
rnacentral:pre_miRNA from 1 species